rnacentral:lncRNA from 1 species
UUUCAUACACCGCUUAUCCUAUAUAAUAUUUACAUCCCAUUUACCAUUCAAGGUGAAGCACAAAUGGAAAGAAAAAUUAUAGUACAGGUUGACAGUGUUUCCUUUACUAUAUGCCUCGAAAUUUAGUGAAAUUUAAGUUAACUCGUACUAUUUGACUGUAUUGUACAGGAGCUAUGCCAUUUUGUCAUCACAGAAUCUGGAGAAUGUGGCAAUGGUCCACUCUUCAACAACCCAACAUCAUCUGCUGAAAUAUCCAUCUCUUCUGCCUUUGCUUUAUUGUAAUCCUCAUUUUGUAUACCCUUUAGGGCCUCCAACACU